UGCCAGCCGCCGCGGUAAUACGGAGGGUGCAAGCGUUGCUCGGAAUUAUUGGGCGUAAAGGGGAGGUAGGUGGUCUCGCAUGUCUGGGGUGAAAUCCCGGGGCUUAACCCCGGAAGUGCCUUGGAAACGGCGAGACUAGAGUCUUGGAGAGGGUAGCGGAAUUCCGGGCGUAGCGGUGAAAUGCGUAGAGGUCCGGAGGAACACCAGAGGCGAAGGCGGCUACCUGGACAAGUACUGACACUCAACUCCGAAAGCGUGGGGAGCAAACAGGAUUAGAUA
rnacentral:rRNA from 1 species